rnacentral:rRNA from 1 species
CUACGGGUCGCAGCAGUGGGGAAUAUUGGACAAUGGGGGAAACCCUGAUCCAGCAAUGCCGCGUGUGUGAAGAAGGCCUGCGGGUUAUAAAGCACUUUCGGUUGGGAGGACUGCUUCUAGCACUAAUAUUGUUGGAAGUUGACGUUACCUUCAGAAGAAGCACCGGCUAACUCCGUGCCAGCAGCCGCGGUAAUACGGAGGGGUGCAAGCGUUAAUCGGAAUUACUGGGCGUAAAGCGCGCGUAGGCGGCUAGAUCAGUCGGGUGUGAAAGCCCCGGGCUUAACCUGGGAACUGCAUCCGAUACUGUCUAGCUUGAGUACAGGAGAGGAGAGUGGAAUUCCACAUGUAGCGGUGAAAUGCGUAGAUAUGUGGAGGAACACCAAUGGCGAAGGCAGCUCUCUGGCCUGAUACUGACGCUGAGGUGCGAAAGCGUGGGGAGCAAACAGGAUUAGAUACCCCCGUAGUC